GCCAUCCUUUUCUUGGGGCUAGGUUACUGCCCAGUGAGCACAUGGUGAGGGCAGAGCUGCUGACACCGACACAAAAUUCCUGCAUCAGCUACAGCUUUGCUUUACCUUGGCACAGUUUCUGGAAAA